CGAGAGUUGGUAGAGCACUCGACUGUUAAUCGAGUUGUCACAGGUUCGAGUCCUGUUCG
rnacentral:tRNA from 1 species